GGGGGGGGGGGGGGGGGGGCGUGGGGGGGGGGGGGGGGGCGGGGGGGCGCGGGGGGUGUGGGGGGCUGGGGUGGGGGACGGGUGGGUAGCGCGUGGGUGGCCUGCGCUUGACGUUGGGCUAACUUCCGGAGAGUGGGGCUAAUACCGGAGAGGAGCUCCUGCUGCAUGGUGGGGGUUGGAAAGUUUCGGCGGUUGGGGAUGGACUCGCGGCUUAUCAGCUUGUUGGUGGGGUAGUGGCUUACCAAGGCGUUGACGGGUAGCCGGCCUGAGAGGGUGACCGGCCACAUGGGGACUGAGAUACGGCCCAGACUCCUACGGGAGGCAGCAGUGGGGAAUAUUGCACAAUGGGCGGAAGCCUGAUGCAGCAACGCCGCGUGCGGGAUGACGGCCUUCGGGUUGUAAACCGCUUUCGCCUGUGACGAAGCGUGAGUGACGGUAAUGGGUAAAGAAGCACCGGCUAACUACGUG
rnacentral:rRNA from 1 species